rnacentral:tRNA from 1 species
GGUGGUGGCUCAGUGGGUAGAGUACAUACCUUCCAUGUGUGAGGGCUUCAGUUGGAUCCGAAGCACCACCU